UCGCUUGAAGAGGGGGUCGCGGCUGAUUAGCUAGUUGGUGGGGUAACGGCCCACCAAGGCUUUGAUCGGUAGCCGGCCUGAGAGGGCGCACGGCCACACUGGAACUGAAACACGGUCCAG
rnacentral:rRNA from 1 species